GAUGAACGCUGGCGGCGUGCCUAAUACAUGCAAGUCGAGCGAACAGACGAGGAGCUUGCCCCUCUGACGUUAGCGGCGGACGGGUGAGUAACACGUGGAUAACCUACCUAUAAGACUGGGAUAACUUCGGGAAACCGGAGCUAAUACCGGAUAAUAUAUUGAACCGCAUGGUUCAAUAGUGAAAGACGGUUUUGCUGUCACUUAUAGAUGGAUCCGCGCCGCAUUAGCUAGUUGGUAAGGUAACGGCUUACCAAGGCAACGAUGCGUAGCCGACCUGAGAGGGUGAGCGGCCACGCUGGAACUGAGACACGGUCCAGACUCCUACGGGAGGCAGCAGUAGGGAAUCUUGCGCAAUGGGCGAAGGCCUGACGGAGCAACGCCGCGUGAGUGAUGAAGGUCUUCGGAUCGUAAAACUCUGUUAUUAGGGAAGAACAAAUGUGUAAGUAACUAUGCACGUCUUGACGGUACCUAAUCAGAAAGCCACGGCUAACUACGUG
rnacentral:rRNA from 1 species